CACUUCUAAGGAAGGCAGCAGGCGCGCAAAUUACCCAAUCCUGACUCAGGGAGGUAGUGACAAGAAAUAACAAUAAACCGGCUUAUGCCGGUUUAAUUGGAAUGAGUACAGUUUAAACAUCUUAACGAGGAACAAUUGGAGGGCAAGUCUGGUGCCAGCAGCCGCGGUAAUUCCAGCUCCAAUAGCGUAUACUAAAGUUGUUGCAGUUAAAAAGCUCGUAGUUGGAUUUCUGUGGGGACGGAGCGGCCGGCCGCACAUCGCGGUUCGAGCUAGCGCUUUCCCUACAUCCUGCCGCGAACCGUGCUACCAUUAGUUUGGUGGCGCCGGGGAUCGGCUCGAUUACUUUGAGAAAAAUAGAGUGUUCAAAGCAGGCCACAUGCCUUGAAUAAGUUAGCAUGGAAUAAUAACUAAGGACUUCGGUUCUAUUUUGUUGGUGUUCGGGACUGAAGUAAUGAUUGAUAGGGACAGUUGGGGCGGUCUGUAUUCCAAAGCGAGAGGUGAAAUUCUUAGACCUUCGGAAGACAAACAGCUGCGAAAGCGUUCCGCAAGGAUGUUCCCUUUGAUCAAGAACGAAAGUUGGGGGAUCGAAGACGAUCAGAUACCGUCGUAGUCUCAACUAUAAACUAUACCAGCUAGGGAUCGGCCAACGUUAUUCUAUACCGACUUGGUCGGCACCUUAUGAGAAAUCAAAGCAUCUGGGUUCCGGGGGGAGUAUGGUCGCAAGGCUGAAACUUAAAGGAAUUGACGGAAGGGCACCACCAGCCGUGGAGCCUGUGGCUUAAUUUGACUCAACACGGGAAAACUUACCAGGUCCAGACAUAGUAAGGAUUGACAGAUUGAUAGCUCUUUCUUGAUUCUGUGGGUGGUGGUGCAUGGCCGUUCUUAGUUGGUGGAGUGAUUUGUCUGGUUAAUUCCGUUAACGAACGAGACCCCAGCCUGCUAAAUAGCGCGCGUGAGCUUUGUUCGCGGCGAGCUUCUUAGAGGGACUCUGAUGCGCGAUAGCACAUGGAAGUUUGGGGCAAUAACAGGUCUGUGAUGCCCUUAGAUGUUCUGGGCCGCACACGGGCUACACUGGCGCCUGCAACGAGCAUAUCAGCUGGCCCGAGAGGGUCUUGGCUAAUCUUUUGAACCGGCGCCGUGCUUGGGAUUGACCUUUGCAAUUGUUGGUCAUGCAACGAGGAAUGCCUUGUAAACGCGAGUCAUCAGCUCGCAUUGAAUACGUCCCUGCCCUUUGUACACACCGCCCGUCGCUCCUACCGAUGAAUGUUCCGAUGAAAUUUUCGGAGAGGGCGCCUGAGAACUUGGCUCCGCCUUGCGAACGGGAGGCUCAAAGUCACUUAAAUCUGAACAUUUCGAGG
rnacentral:rRNA from 1 species